ensembl:lncRNA
AAUUAACAACAUACAUUAAAGAACAAAAGGGUAAGGAGAAGAUAUGCUAUAGGUACAUUUAAUCUUAUCUCUAAUGUGCAAGAGAUGCUUACAAAUCAUUAAGAAAAAGAUAAAUCCUUCAUUAGAAACACGGGGAAAGGACAUGAACAGGUAAUUCACAAAAACUACAUACGACUGAAAAAACCAAAAAGGUAUUUAUUUAUCCUCACUAAUAAUCUCAGCAAUGCUGAUACAAAUCAGUGUCAUUGGCCUUGAGUUCAUUUGGUCAAAUAGUAAUGCUGACAAAGUCCGGGAGGGUGAGGGUGUGAGCAGACGGAGAGCAGAGCUGUGUUGCUGCGACAUACAUUGUUGUGCGUGUCCCGAGGGCAGCGUGGCAAAAUUAGGAAGUGUAUACCCUUUAUUGUGGCGAUCUUGUUUGCUCAUUUUUAUACUGCAGAGAUAAUUGCCAAAAUGAGCAAAGAGAUACGCACGGGAUAUUUACCGCAACAUUGUUUAUGAGAGUGAAAUCUUGAUGCCACCCUAAAUGAUUAUCAAUAGAGACCCAGCAAGAAUAAGUGUGAUACAUACAUACAAUGGGGAAUACUAUGGAGCAAUUAAAAUAAUUUUGCAGAGCUCUAUUUAUUGACAUAGAAAGAUGUCUAUGACAUAUUGUUGAGCGAGAAAAGCAGGUGUCAGCGAGAACAGUAUGUAUAAUACAAGUCCUCAACUAUAAAAUUAUAUACAUGGAUCUCCAUGUGUAUAUAUGCAUAGAGAUAUGUCUGCAAGGCUGUUCACCAAAAUGCUAGGAGCAGUUAUAUCUGGGUGGUAGGAUUUUUACUUUCUUUUUCAUACUUUCAGAUAUCGGUUUGAUUUUGUUUUUAUAAUGAGGAUAUAUCGUGUUUGUCAGUCAGAAUAAACAAUAAAGCUAUUUUCAUUUUGGAAUGAAGAUAAAUAUUAAACAAGAGGAAUCAGCAUGUGGUGAUUUAAUGGCUGUGGAUAGAGUCAAGAGGCAAGCCAGGAAUUUGAUCCUCGGUGCCUGAAGGAUGUGUAUCGUUGCAAAUCCUAAGCAGCAGCUGAUGGGGAGGGAUCGAACUCGGGACCUUGCGCUUUCGAGGCCUCCCUGCUGCCCUCCUGAAGCAAGGGUGGAAGGCGGCCCCACCCUCUGCUGGAACACCUGCAGCUGGGCUUCCAUGCCCUCUGCCCCAUGACUCCUCCACCUGGCUUGUCUAAUGAGAGUGCCUUCCACCAUCGCUGGACCUUUUCUGGGAUUUGGCCUAAGGUGCUCUUCCUCCCAUCUGCAUCUCUGGCUGGGCAAUACCAACCUGGACAUGGUUCUGCUCCUGUGCUGACUGUAAGUGUCUCUAUCAUGGUCUGUUGAGCAUCCUUUGGGGGCAGGGACCAGGUCAGAUUCAUCCCUUGGCACCCUGGGCCUCAGCAGAGCUGGGAAUGUGCAGGCUGAAGGCUGAUUCUGGUGCAAAACAAGGUGCCCCAGUGUGGAUCUUGCAGCCCCUGGAGGUCUGCCCUUCCUUCCUUUCUCCUGUGGUCCUCUCCCUUUGCUAAUGAUUUUGGAACUUAAAAAAUUGAUUAAAAGUUGGAAUGUAUAUACAUAAAAAUAAAAUAGCGGACACUAAUAGUAUCCUUUAAACUUUAAUAUAAAGAGAAAGCACGUUCAAGGGACAUUUUCUGGAUGGCUCCAAAUUAGCAUGAAUUUCUCAGCGGGUGUCCUGACUUUGCUCCCCUCCCUUGAGGUCUGUGGCUGGAUCUCCUCGCUGGGAUCCUGACCAGGCUGGGAGUGAAGCAGAGUGUGGAGAACUUGGGCUUCAUGCUUGAAUAAGUCUGGCUUGAAUCUGCCAUGUGUAGCCUGUGUGACCUUUCGGGACCUCAAUUUUAUAAUCUGUACAAUGAGGGAAGAGGCUUCGUUUCACAGGGUGGUGCCCAGGGCCAAGGGCAAUGGCUAGCUUCUGUCCUUCCACCUUAAGAAUAAAUCCAGAAUCCAGUGAUUGCCAAGGCAGCAGGCUAGGCCCCAUCAUCUCCUCCCGCUUUCCAAGAGUCUGUUCUGUAUACUGCAGCCACAGUGAUCUCAGUGUGGAAGUCAUGUCAUAUCACUUGUCUGCUCAAAACCCCCAAUGAUCUGUCUCAUCUGGAGUAAAAGCCAAGGUCAUCACAGUGGCCUCAAGCUCCAUAUGAUUAAGCCCCACCCCACCUGUUACUGUCUCUACUGUUCUCCCACAUGUCACUUACCUCCAACCACACUACCCUCCUGCCUGUCCCCAAAAGUGUCAGAUGCAUCCUGCCUCAGGACCUUUGCCUGUGCUGUGUCCUUUGCUGGAAUGCUCUUCCCCUAGGUAUUAUCAUGGCUCCCUCCAUCACCUCCUUCAGGUCUCAAAGGUCACCUUCUUUUGAGCUGCGGUGGAGGUGAGGAACAUUGUGCUCUUUUUGAUUUAUUUUUUCAUCCGUGCAAUUUAUUGCAGUCUUCUAUACUAUACUUUUUUGUAUUAUAUUCUGUGUUGCUUGUCUCCUUCUGAAGAGAAUGGAAGCUCCUUGAGAGCAGGGAUUUUGCCUUUGUACCAUUUGGAAAGUGCCUGGAAAUAAU